GACAGAGGGUGCAAACGUUGUUCGGAAUUACUGGGCGUAAAGCGCGUGUAGGCGGCUCUGCAAGUCGGAUGUGAAAGCCCUGGGCUCAACCUAGGAAGUGCACUCGAAACUGCAUUGCUUGAGUACCGGAGAGGAUGGCGGAAUUCCCGAAGUAGAGGUGAAAUUCGUAGAUAUCGGGAGGAACACCGGUGGCGAAGGCGGCCAUCUGGACGGAUACUGACGCUGAGACGCGAAAGCGUGGGUAGCAAACAGG
rnacentral:rRNA from 1 species